UUGAGGAAGAAACCACCCGUCGUGAAGGGAAUUUACGGGACACCUCGAAGUAGGAACGGCCUACNUCGCGCCAGCAGCCGCGGNUACUCGGAGGANCCAAGCGUUAUCGGAAGCAUUGGGUUUAAGGGCCGUAGGCGGACUUAGUAGCCAGAGGAGAAAGCCUUCAGCNCAACCUGUAGAAUUGCCAUUGAGUCUGNUAUGCCUUGAAUCAUUGUGAAGUGGUUAGAAUGAGUGGUGUAGCGGAUGAAAUCANUAGAUUAUCACACAGAAUACCGAUUGCGAAGGCAGA
rnacentral:rRNA from 1 species